UGUGUGCUAUGAGUUAUAGGGUGAGU
rnacentral:piRNA from 1 species